CAGGCUGAGGAUGCAAAGGAGUUGUAUCUAUGUACAGGGAUGAGGGACAGAGGACCAGUAAGCAUGGUGGGGCCCUUGGAGAUCUGUCGGAGCAGUUGCAAGAGGCCACUGUAGACCAGCAAUCGCCACCGCUGCAGCAUUGGUGCCAGGCAAGAAAUCCCAUCAUGCUCUACACCAAGGCUGAGGAGGGAUAGAGCUGAACCGACUGGCAGCCCUCUGUCCUUCCAUGAGAGGAGACUCCAUGGGAGACAAUGGUGUAUAGCAGUGCAGUGCAGCUCACCUGGUGAGGAUGGACUUGUUUGAUGAAUGUGAACUCAGUGCUGGUUAAGGCUGGAAACAGAAGGUAUACGUACAAAGGUCUGUUCCAACUUGUGGCAAUAUUGCAAGUCCCACCAUCCCAUGGCUCUCCUCUGUACAGACUGUAAAAUACAAGCAGAAAACGCUAAUUAACUGAUCAUUAGCAGGAAGGUGAAAGAUCAAACUUAGAUUUACAUGUUGCCUUCUUGUUUGAAGAACUGCGUCAGCAUCCACUAAUUAAUCCAUCAGCAAAGAAUGCUGCCUGCACUUCUCCAUCAUUAGCCAGUCUCCGAAAGAAGCAAGAGGACCCUGAAUGGGUGCCAGAUGGCUUCCGAUGCAUCUCUGUCAUUCAGUUCUCCUCCAC
ensembl:processed_transcript BC006965 cDNA sequence BC006965